CAGGACGAUUACCGAAAAAAGGGCCGCGCCGUCGCCGCCCGCAUGACCUAGCGCGGAAGACACGGAUUGACACCGGAUUGAUGGAUUCGGGAGAGAAAAAAAAAACCACAAAAUUAGGUAAUUGAGGGCGAAGAUUUUGAUAAGAAAGGCGGAAGCCAACGGCUUGACCCAAUCGCGUGGCACUAGUCCGCAUAACCUUGAUGGAAACUAUUACUGUUGCAACAUCGGCAAAGUGCAAGGUCCUAUUGGACAUCGGCGCAAGACGGCGUCAGCACUUCUCGCGUACGAUUCGCCAUUUAUGGCGGUCAGAAUUCAAGUGUCUAGUAAUCAGUGGCCGACAGAACAAAC
ensembl:ncRNA T14F9.19 ncRNA